rnacentral:lncRNA from 1 species
AUUUGGGGUUGGGAUAAAACGCGGAUGCGGACGGACGGACGGACACGCGGACGGACGGACGGACGGACAAAAGGGAUAAAAUGCGGAUGCGGACAAAAGGGAUAAAGUGCGGAUGCGGACAAAAAGGAUAAAAUGCGGAUGCGGACAAAAGGGAUAAAAUGCGGAUGCGGACAAAAGGGAUAAAAUGCGGAUGCGGACAAAAGGGAUAAAAUGCGGAUGCGGACAAAAGGGAUAAAAUGCGGAUGCGGACAAAAAGGAUAAAAUGCGGAUGCGGACAAAAGGGAUAAAAUGCGGAUGCGGACAAAAAGGAUAAAAUGCGGAUGCGGACAAAAAGGAUAAAAUGCGGAUGCGGACAAAAAGCCUUACCCGCGAUAUAUUUUACGGAAAUCCCAACGCAAAAUAUAUACAACAGGUAUUACAAAUGUAAUAAUAAUGUAGUUAUGCAAGGCGGAGGCUUUGCAGUUAAUAAUUGCUCCAGGUAUGAACCAUGCUGAAUAGUCAAAUUAGCGAGCUAAAGAGUAAAGAAUUCAUUGACCGAUGACAAAUAGUGACAAAGCAAAUAUAGUGACUUUAAAGAAAUUUCUAUAAAUGUUUACAGACGUUUAGUCAGUUAGUGUUUA